AGCUCAGGAUUUAUAAUACAAACCUUGUCCUUCAGUAAACCAUUGGGUCCAAGAACGUGUUCGAAAAUGUGCUGUCUGACGUGGGCAUCAACAGCUGAGAGGGGGUCAUCGAGCAGGUAAAUCGAAGCCUUCUGGUACACGGCACGAGCAAGGUUCACUCUUUGCUUCUGCCCUCCAGACAGAUUUAUUCCCUGGAAAAAUGUAUUGACUCUGUUUAUUCCACAGCUACAGCAUAUUUGUCAGCUGUUGACUCCAUUUUGUGCUGUUUUAUGACUCCCUUAUUUUUAAACCAGUGCAUCUCCCUCCCUCCAAACAGGGCUCUUGCAGAGGCAGAGUCUUCUGAGCAACUCCACUCUCCUGUAAAAGAGCACCCCAGAAUGGCCUGGAUUUGUUGAUUUUUGUCUUUAACAACUCUCAUGUCUCUGGUGAGGUUAACUGUCAGGAGGUGGGCUUAAAUUAAAUAGAUCAUGGCCCAGCUUUCCAGAAAUCACUGAGCACCUGCCUCAUGCAAGUUUAAUUUCUUUGUAGGUGUUUUAAGCAGGACACCUGAAGUUGUAGCUACUCAAAGAAAAGUUGGCCAAAAUAUAAACCUAAGUAUAAGUACCUUUUCUCCUAUUUCACUCUUCUGCCCUGCAGGGAAGCUCUCCAAAUCAGGGUGCAGUGCACAAGCAUGUAUGACUCUAUUGAACCAUGUUUCAUCCAUCUCUUUCCCGAAAAGAAUAUUAUCUUCCACUGUAGCAUUUAGUACCCAAGCUUGCUGGGGGACAUAAGCUGCAGUGUCCUAUAGAAGUGGAACAAUGUUAGUAAUCUUUUCCAUAAGCUCAGCUUGACACUGUGGGAACCCAUCUUUGCAGAAAAGCUCUCUGAGUUAUAGAAGUCUGGAAUGAUCAUCACCAUUGAUAGGUCUCAGAGGGCUUUGCAAAAUAUGAGUCUGCACUGUUGUUAUCUGACAGAGGAGGACACAGAGGUGCAAGUAAAUGAUGAGAUUUACCAGGAUGACAUUUCAGCUCACUGUCAGAGUGGGAAAUAGAACUGGAUCUUUGAAGCAAUGUUUCAGCUCCUAUUUCCAAAGUCUUCAGCACCUUCAGAUAAUUAAAUGGGGACUGAUACAUUUAAAUUGUUAAAAUUCAGCAGUAAAUGCAUUGUCAUCAAGUACCUGAUGCCUUGGUUAAUACCUUACAGUUCCUGAAAAUAGCCUAAUUAGAAGCAAAUGCUCAGGGGGAAAUUUACCUUCAUGGUCACAGAGCCAUCCAGUUUCUCCAGCUCACCAAGUAAUGCUGACAGCAAGGAGGACUUCCCAGCACCCACCUGGCCAACUACAGCAAGCAAAGAGCCUUGGGGCACAAAUUCAGCAUUAAAUAUGAAGUGAACUCAGAAGCCUCUGGACAUUCCACAUUGGCCCUACAGAGUUGAGAGAUGACUAAGGCAAAAUAUACCUGAAACUGACUCCUCUUCUUGGUGAUCACGAAAUUCAGAGGCAGAAGAAAAAGGAAUACAGCAAUUGCAGUCAAGGCAGAUGGCCCUAGAAGCUGUCAGGAACUAGAUUAGUGCUGAAAGUGAUCCAGCAGCACACUGGCAAUUCCAGCCAUUCCUCCCAUGUCCUUGGAUGCGUUAAGGAGGACAUCUUGUGGCUGGCUUAAGCAACAAUUUCUUCAGAGGAGUCCUCUUUCCUCACUGGCCACAAGUCAUCCACCUCCAGGGACUGCUGAGAGCCUUUCCAGAGAAGCCUGGAGAACACACAGACUGCAGUCAGAGAACCACCAGUAUGUGAUUUUGGAAAGAAAAGAGCUUCUGGCUUCUGGACAGUGAUUCUGAUGGGAGAGAAAACAUGUGAUAUUAUAUAUAGAAAAAUGUAUGUGUCAGAUGAAUAUAAUUCCCUUCUGUGCUCCCCCAGGAAAAGCAAUCAAAGAGUUACCCCCACCCCUCAAUUCACUGACCCAGACAGAGCAAGUGUAUUGUGGAGGAUCAAUGGGAUUGGGAGAUUUUGGAGAAUUUAACUUUGAAUAACUUCUCAGAUAGAAGAAAAAAGAAUAUAAUUCUUCAUACGCAGAGAUGUUUAUUUUCUUAAGCACAGAAAUUUGUCAUACCCAUACCAUCAAGUACUGCUGCACAGGAGAGCAGCAACAGGGGAAGCAAUAGGAGCCCUGUCUGCUGGUUUCAAUGACAAGAAACAUUAGUAUGGAUAAAAGGGCAUGUUGAAUUUUGAAACUAAACAUCACAACUGCAGCCACAAACGACAGCAGCCAAUAAAUCAACAGGACCCCUGAAGACUGGAUGCCCAUCAUUCUUUCUGCCUGGGUAAGGAACAGGGCAAGGAUCUGUGAGGAAGUACAAAUUUGUCCACAUAAAUACCUGGUAAUGGAAUGCCAAACACUGUUAUCAAAUUAAUGAAAAAAGAUCAGUUUCUUUUCCAAACACUUUGAGAUGUUCAGAGCUGUAGUAGCUGUAGUAUUGUUCCUAAAAGGCUAAAACUGAACAGCAUUAUGUGCAAUUUUGCACUCAAGAAUGUCUCUGGAGAAAGGGCAAGUAAUAAAACUACAAGUGGACCAACAGGCAAGAUCUGCUCUGCCCACAGGGCAGAGGUGUAGCUCCAGUAAUCUGCCCUGACUCCAAAGCCAUGGCUUGUGGGCCUUCUAUUCCCCAUCAGCCAAAUUUGUGCUCAGAGACACUGAGAAACGUGGGAAAUACAAGAUCUGUCCCAGGAGGGCUAAGCUUGGCCAUGUGCAGACAGACAAGGGAAGAAUUACCAUUGUGAUUCCCAUCACAGCAGGGCCGAUGAAGAACUCUGGAGCCCGUGGGAUUCCUUGGCUUAUCUCCCACAGCAUGAAGAAAACAUUAGUAAAACACAGUAUCACCAGAAUGAAUCCAAGGACGAUUUUGGUUUUGAAGAUGCGGGACAUCCUGAUAUAGCCCCUGUUCCUGUGUCGAAGAUACAGGUAGUAGAAAGGAAAACAGAUCCAAAGAUAGGCACAAGGGAUCCAGGUGAUGACUGAGCUCUCAAAGCACCAGGUAAAUCCUGAGGUGUUUGUAUGCCAUGUCUGAUUCCAGUCCUGUCACAGAAACAACACAGAAGUGAAAUAGUAAAGCAAAUGUACACAGAUUUUCACAGCUAAUGCAGGUUCCUAAUGCUACAGCUGAGAUCUACUACGUUAGUGGAAUUUGAUUUAGGGUUUCAAAUGUAAAAAACAUUUGGCAACAGAGACGAACUUAGCUAUAGCAGUUUGGAGGGAAUUGAAGUAGAAAGGCAGGACGAAGAUUGCAAAAGUGAAAGAUGCCGAAGAAAGGACAUGUAUCACAACUAGAGAGAAAAGAAAAGAAAGGUAAGUUAAUGAAAAUGGAAUGAGAAAAGGUAAUUUGGGAAUUAAACAGAUGAUCAGCAUUUGGGAACCAUCAUAACAAACAACAGGAAAUGACCAGUGAAAUGGAGAUUAGGAGGAAAAAAGUGUCCUAGUGCAUGAACUGCAUUUCCUCAGCUGUUUGUACUAACCCUUUGUGACUUUUUGACUGAACAAAUAUUGGAUCUCAUCUGGCAACUGUACAUAAGUGGGUAAGGUUAUUUUUCC